GUGUGCCAGCCUGUGUUGUGCGUUAGGGAUGAGUGGCCAGGCUGCGUCGACCGGCAGCCUCCACAGUGACACACGGCGCGGAUCCGAAUGCUGCUGUGCUGUCUCCGUUUCCCUGCGCGAUAAUAACACAAACACGAGCAGGCAGCCAUCCCUCCUCCUCCUCCCUCCCCGCGGGAUUUAUCAAAGCCCACAGCAAGCUAACAUUACUCUUAAUGUCUACAAUUUACCGAAGCUGUCAGGCAAAGAUUGAGAAUUUUGGGGGAGAUUUUUAGUUUGUUUAAUUUAACAGCUGAAACAAAUCUAAACCAAAGUCUCCUUCCUUUCCUUUGCCGCAUAAAAAAAGUAAAUUCUGCAAUUUCAUUACCGUGGAGAAGCGGAGCUCCGCCGUUUAUUUUAAAAGGGGGGCUUUAAACCAUCGCACCGCCCACGUCGCCCCCUCUCGUUGUGCCCAAAAUUGCACAGGAAUACCAUUACCGGGCACAAACCUCGAUAGGACAAAACGAUAAGCCGCCGUUAGCCCGAAGCCGCCGCAGGGCUGAUGGGCUAAUAUUUACAGAGUCCGAGUCGCGAGUGUGCCUCUGCUCUUGGCAUGCCCGAUUAAGGCGGGCAUAAUCCCUCGCAAACAGCCGGGCGCGCCGCGCUAUCUCCCAACCUCAGCUGGCUCUCAAUGGCACUGUUGUAAAUCGUCCGUACAUGUUAUAUAGGGGGCUCUGUCGCAAAGCCGGAUUCGGUAUAAGUGGGCCAGGAGAAUGGUAACACAAUUUGCUCAAUACCUCGGCAGUGUAAACAAUGACAAAAUAAAACAUCAAGUGGUCUCCAAAUGGACGUAACAGCAGACAGCGGCCGAAGGUCGGGCACCAAAUGCGACAUUUUCACGUGGGACCGUGGGGACGCUGAGUGGCUACUCCACUCCUGGGUCACCUGGUACGAGUAGAAUGCCGCCUGCGAGCGUCCGAAUCUCCUGGCGUGAGCACCGCGCAUCAGCAGCGCCGGCAGCUCCCUGGCAAUCCCCCUGCUCCGCCUGCAUCUGGAGAGUUAUGCAGCCUUGAGUGAUCCGGGGCCCUCGUGACCCUGAGCCGGGCCCACGUGACCUCGCGCAGGGCCCAGGUGACCUCGUGCAGGGCCCACGUGACCCCGCGCGGGUGGAGGAGGGAUGGCCCUCGGCGUCCAGGGGUCCGCCCCUCGAGCCCUCGUUCCGCGCUUCAGAGCCCUGUGUCACAUUGCCGGUUACGCUGCUCAGCAAAAUGAGAGAAUCCCAAACCCUCUCCCUGUUAAUCACACACGGUGACAAUUUUAUUGAGGGAGGAAAAGGUUUGGUUUUCUCUACUGAAUAACUUAAGAUUUCGUGUGAAUUAUGACCUUUCGCCCCGCCCGACACAUACAAAAGAUUAGCCGGGUUAUUGGGCCCUCGGUAAUUGCACGUGCCUGAACGUUACACAUGUACUAUUGGCGCGUACUCUAGAUAUCUGCUGGCUGUGGCUGGCUCCACUGGGGUUAGGCAUCGUGCGAAAGCCACUAUACCCAUCCCUCCCAGCUCGGCCGGCUACGAAGCUACUGGUGGCGUGGCCAGAUUGAACGAAUAUUGGUUUCCCAAAGAACAACAUUUUCGCGACAUUGUACCCCCAGGGGAAGGAGAAUAGAGUGGCUCAAGUAAAUUUGCUGGGCAGGUGGCUGUGUGGCUUAUAAAUGCAGCAGUUAAAUCAAGGGGUCAAGUUUCCUGAAUCACCCCGACAGCCGCUGUCCAUCCAAUGGUACAAUUGGUUGGACUACGCAGAGUUAACCGGCAGGUUGCGUGUGGUGGGAUCUCCUUUCUCCUCCUGUUCUGACACCACAGUCAUAGAUGUCUCCAGUAUGGGACGCACGAUAUGGCCAGCAGUGGAUAGACCAUAGGUCAUGCUAUGGCCUGGUCUGUAUAGCAAAUACAGUCGGGGUGUCUUUCAUCCAGCAGUGGAUUGAAAGAUUAUUGUAAUUAUUACUUCUCAAAUAAUUGUUGCCAACAACCUGCUUUUUUGGGCAAAAGGACUUUGUGGUAUCUUCUUUGGUUCUUUCGGUAA